UCAAAGCCGCAAUGAGAGUCAUAAAGAUGAGCCAACAGAACCAUAAAAGCAACGCAGAACAAUAAAUCUAAUAUCUCGUAAAACUCUGGUUCCCUCUUUCCAUCAUCAACGAUUAGGAAUGAUUCUUGAGAGCUUCUUAAUAACGAAUGAUCCCAAAUCCAUCAAAACUCGAAACGACGAAAAUACUCUAUCCUAUCCGUGAAAAAAGGAGUCCUCGAAAAAAAUAUGUAAAAGGGUCCACCAGAAACCAGUUCAGAUUUAUCGCUUCCGGUAUAGUGAAAAAUAUGAAGCAAAUUAACAUGCCCAAGUAAUAUUGUUACGAUGAUUUAUGGGUGAAAACACGAGGAAGCUGUCCAACGUCAUUUCAAGCGGCAAAGAGAAUGCGAAUUUGCAAGAAACUAAGCCGACUGCAUACCAACGAGCCUGAAACCCAAGAAAGCCGAUCUUUCCGCAAUAUCUUUACCGCCUUAAUUCCCUGCGAAUCUCGUGAAAAAAAGGCGCGAACAUCGUCCAAAGGGAUUUAAACGGCUACUUAUUCUCGUUCAGUUUGGUUUGUGAUAAACCAGAAAGAUACAAAGAUAAAAAUGGAUGUGAUAAUAUAUAAUUUUAUGUGAUAACAUGUAAAUUUGUAAGUUUACAUGUUUUGAGAUAGGAAUAGAAUGUCUCGAGUGACAUAAGUAUUUGAACGACUUUAAAAUUUAUUCAGCUCAAAAAAACAUUUCGAUGAAAAAGAAUUAUUCCAAAAACUUAUUUUCUUCACCUUUAAUCACGCAAAUUGGAAUCAAUUGCUAAUACAAAAAAUAAUUGGAGAUAACAUACAGAACCAUUGUAUUACAAUACUUAUCACUGAAACGAGUUCAAAUCACGUUGCUCUAAGGAUGCUUUUAAUUUGAAAGCAAAUUCUCCAAGAUAAUGUAUGAACUUGGCAAUGGUAACAUUGAAAGGAUAAUGCACCAACUUUGUCUACCCCUUAAAAAACGUUGACCGAGAAGAAAGAUGUUCGAAUGAUGGACGUUCAACUCGAAUAGUUUUCCAGAUGUCAUCUCUUUCUCGAGAUUCACAACGAGUAUAAAGUUGUAAGAAUCCGUAUCCACGAAGACACGAGGCGAAUUGUCAGCUUUGCGAAAUGGAAAAAAAAAACAAAAAGAAAGAAAGAAAAAAUAAAUAUUACGACUAUUACGGACGUGGUUUACCGGUAGCCAACACGUAAAAGCUACUCUUUGUACGUGGAAUAGUUACGAGUUCUUCGGGUUCUGUUUAAUAUGCAUGGAAACGCGCCUCUUAGACCAUAUGCUUUCAUAUGUUUACCGCUUCCAAUUUCUCAUUGUUGAACUACUGACUUAAACGAUAUUCUUGUAUGGAGAAAGAGUGAAAGAACGAGUUCCAGAAGUUCCAGAGAAAAUAAUGAUGGAUUAAAUAAAAAAAAAAGAAUGAUGGAAAAAUGUUGAAAUUUGAUUUUUGAAGAGAUUCGUAAAAAUUCGAAUUUAAAGACUUGAAAUUCGAAACUCGAAUUUUUCUAAAGAUAUUUUUCAAAGCAAGAAGACUGACAAAAUCUAAAGUGGACAGGAUAGGAUCCAAGUAUAUUUAAAAAACAAAAUACUACUAAAUAAUCUUAACUCCAAAUUUUCUACAAAUUCUUAGUAAUAUAAAUCCAUUCAUAAAUAAGAUCACUUAUUUAACUACAAAUCUCAGUUUGUUUCAAGAAAAAACUGUUCAAGAUCAAUCAUUUGUUCAAUUCACAUUCAAUUGCCACUCUAGAGACAAGGAAACUGAGCAACCUAAAGAUGUCGCAUAUCCUCAAAUCACGUUAUCCAUUCAAAGCUAUUAUUCACACGCUUUAAACGACGUCUAAAGUGCAGUGACAUCUUUUUUUUGACUGUCACGCCUUUAUCGCGUUCAGUUUUGCGCGGCCACUUGUAUCGAUCUGACAGUAACGUAAAAGCCGUGACAGAAUGCCAUCACCAACCGUCUUCGCGGAAUCCUAAGAAACUUAGUUAGUCAGGAACCCUCUGCGUUGCGUAUCGGGAGUCAGCAGCCCAUGGCUGGAUGACAAAUCGUUGGUUGGCCGAGCUGACAGCUAACAUCCAUUGGCCGUUUUACAACUUGAUAAAUCGUAACACGGAGGAUCUUCUCAUAUUUUAACAUUAUAACAGAUCGUGUACGCGUUAAGAGCCUAUUUUUUAAAAUUACUUCUUUAUUUAAGGAUCUUUAUUUUUUUGAUCUUGUUCUCAAAUCAUUGGAACUGAUAGGAAAUAAUGCAACUCCAUGUUGCGCAAGUGUUAAUAUAAUAACAAAUGAAGCAUCGUUGAAGGAUUGAUUCAAUGUGAAUAUAAGAGUCGAUGUAUGUAAGUAUUCGAGGCUUAUCUACAAGCAAUUAAAGAUCGAGUGAAAUCUCUAUCGAAAAUAUUUAUAUUUUAAAUAUUAUAAUGAGUCUAUGCGUAUUU